rfam:Salmo salar isolate Sally breed double haploid chromosome ssa09, whole genome shotgun sequence.
UUCAUGCCAAUCUGUAAGUCGCUCUGGAUAAGAGCGUCUGCUAAAUGACUUAAA